GCGUCCGUAGCUCAAUGGAUAGAGUACUGCCCUCCGAAGGCAGGGGUUGCUGGUUCGAUCCCAGCCGGGCGCG
rnacentral:tRNA from 1 species